UUGACCUCGGAUCAGGUAGGAGUUACCCGCGGAACUUAAGCAU
rnacentral:rRNA from 1 species